GAGGAGCCGUGCGCGCUGCGCGCAGACGUCGCGCCGCUCCGCCUGGGUCACGGCGGACCGCCCGCAGCGGGAAUAAGGUAGCAGCAGAAAAACGCCUUCCAGCACUCAGAUACUUCACAGCUAUCCCAGUAAUCUGCUGUGCUGGGUACUUCGGUGUAUUAUGUUAGCAGCACAGCCAGACAUGAGAAAAAUAAGACUGAGCAAAAGUGAUUUAUUAUAGAAGCCAAAUGGAAUUGAACACGUGUCACAGUUCUGAAGCUUAUCACAGCCUGUUUAAAGAAGAGCAGUUCGCAAGUCCCCUUUGGUCGACUCCCGAUUGACACGAGGAACGCCAAAGAGGAAGAAGGCAGAUGAAUGAUAAACAGGUGGAUGAAACAAUGACCUGGUAUGAACACAGAGUAACAGACAGCUUCAGCUACUACAGUCAAAAAGGCAUCCGUGAAAAGGUCUGUUUGCUUGCUUGGACACUGUUGCACUGUAGUCACCGAUGUUAGUGAUUCUGUGGAAGAAGCUCGUUAAAGCAUAUGCAGAGAUGACUUUAAGUCUAUGCCUGGACAUGGCUUGAUAUUUUAACAUGGCUGUCUGAUUCAGCACUGAAAUUUGGAAGCCUGAUCUUGCAUUUUUUUUCUUUCCCUGUCAUUAAUAAAAAUGUAAAUUACAGGGUAUAUUUGAUUUCAGAAUCUGCAGAGAAAGCCAUGUCUUCAAGUCUGUAUUUUAGUGUUUGGUUUUUUUAAUGCAGUUGUAUUUUUAUAUGUUUACUCUGAAGUCAUCAGCAUCUGAAAUGCAUCAACUUUUUACUGGAAGACCUUUGCUUUUCAAAGAAAGAGAGAGUUUUCAGUAUUGCUGAGACCCAUUUCACCAUUUUUGUUUUAGAACAUUUGAGGAAGAAAUGCCCAAGUUCCUCAAACAUCAGAGGGGACUUUAGAAGGAAGAACAAGAAUGAUGGUUUUAAGACAAUCAAUACCACAGAGUGGCUUCAGUUUGGGAUUCUGAUCUCCUAAGAGAAUUCUGCUUUUUACAGGAGUUUAUCUUCAAAUUUCUGUAGUAUGCCAUGUAAAACAAUAUUGACUUUCUUCUGCACUUGUUUUCUGUAUGCUCUUUUUAUCAUACAUUUAACAACAUUCAGUUUUAAAAUAUUUAAUGUUUAAAAUAUUUGGAUGCUGUGGGCACUCAUGGGGCAUAACUUUCUACUUCUAGUGAAAUCAUUGACUCGUAGAACUCUAAUUAUAUGAGGAUUACAGUUUCAGAAACUUCUUGACAACUCCAAAAUUAAGUGUUGACUGCAGUAUCCUGACAAAAUUUCAUAUUGGUAUACCUACUUAAAAAUUUAUGUUUUCUCCCUGCUAAAUGGAAUGUUUAUUUUGCAUCAUUUAUUUGUGCUAAACAUUUAUUUGUACUGAUAAACAAUAACCAUACUGUACCACAGACGUGACUGUAUCUUAAUGUUACAUGAAAUAAUUCCUUACUAAUUCUAAUGUUUCUUGGAAAGAUAAAGAUCAACGAAGAUGACAAAGCUUGGUGCACGCAUUGUAUUUGAAUAAUUCCUACUCAGCCUGUUUAAUGUAUGUUUCUUGUUGAACACUUUGUGUAGGUUGAAGAUAUUUGUGUCUGUGCAUGACUGGAAGUAUAAUUAGAAACGAAAUGAAUUCUAA